GAUGAACGCUGGCGGCGUGCCUAAUACAUGCCAGUCGAGCGAACGGACGAGAAGCUUGCUUCUCUGAUGUUAGCGGCGGACGGGUGAGUAACACGUGGAUAACCUACCUAUAAGACUGGGAUAACUUCGGGAAACCGGAGCUAAUACCGGAUGAUAUUUUGAACCGCAUGGUUCAAAAGUGAAAGACGGUCUUGCUGUCACUUAUAGAUGGAUCCGCGCUGCAUUAGCUAGUUGGUAAGGUAACGGCUUACCAAGGCAACGAUGCAUAGCCGACCUGAGAGGGUGAUCGAGCAGACUGGAACUGAGACACGGUACAGACUCCGACGGGAGGCAGCAGUAGGGAAUCUUCCGCAAUGGGCGAAAGCCUGACGGAGCAACGCCGCGUGAGUGAUGAAGGUCUUAGGAUCGGAAAACUCUGUUAUUAGGGAAGAACAUAUGUGUAAGUAACUGUGCACAUCUUGACGGUACCUAAUCAGAAAGCCACGGCUAACUACGUG
rnacentral:rRNA from 1 species